ACAGGAAAACAUAAGAAGCAGCCCACUGGUUCAAAACCAGAUGUUCCUAGACCGAGCUUCUGUGUUUGGCCAUGGCUGACAGCAGACAGCACUACUCCAAAGAUGAUAUUUCUAUGUUUUCUGUAUUCUACAAAGAGGGAGGA